rnacentral:rRNA from 1 species
AUAUCGGAACGUACCCAAGAGUGGGGGAUAACGUAGCGAAAGUUACGCUAAUACCGCAUACGAUCUAAGGAUGAAAGCAGGGGAUCUUCGGACCUUGUGCUCCUGGAGCGGCCGAUAUCUGAUUAGCUAGUUGGUGAGGUAAAGGCUCACCAAGGCCACGAUCAGUAGCUGGUCUGAGAGGACGACCAGCCACACUGGAACUGAGACACGGUCCAGACUCCUACGGGAGGCAGCAGUGGGGAAUUUUGGACAAUGGGCGAAAGCCUGAUCCAGCAAUGCCGCGUGAGUGAAGAAGGCCUUCGGGUUGUAAAGCUCUUUUGUCAGGGAAGAAACGGUUUGGGCUAAUAUCCUGAGCUAAUGACGGUACCUGAAGAAUAAGCACCGGCUAACUACGUGCCAGCAGCCGCGGUAAUACGUAGGGUGCAAGCGUUAAUCGGAAUUACUGGGCGUAAAGCGUGCGCAGGCGGUUUUGUAAGUCUGACGUGAAAUCCCCGGGCUCAACCUGGGAAUUGCGUUGGAGACUGCAAGGCUAGAAUCUGGCAGAGGGGGGUAGAAUUCCACGUGUAGCAGUGAAAUGCGUAGAGAUGUGGAGGAACACCGAUGGCGAAGGCAGCCCCCUGGGUCAAGAUUGACGCUCAUGCACGAAAGCGUGGGGAGCAAACAGGAUUAGAUACCCUGGUAGUCCACGCCCUAAACGAUGUCUACUAGUUGUCGGGUUUUAAUUAACUUGGUAACGCAGCUAACGCGUGAAGUAGACCGCCUGGGGAGUACGGUCGCAAGAUUAAAACUCAAAGGAAUUG